CCCUUCCCUUCCACAUCCCCUUCCAUUUCACAUUCCUUUCCCUUUGCCUUCUCUUUCUCUUCCCUCCUCCACAUCCUCUUCUCCACAUCCCCAACCCCUUCCCCCUUGCUCCUCCUCCUUCCCCCUUGUGGUGUGACGGGGAACAACAAACACCGAGGCCCCGCAACAACAAAUGCCCGGCGAUCACACACACGCCGCCGCACGCCUCGCAGGAUCAAAGGGAGGGAAGGACGUGUGGAUGCGACGCGCGGCGGACGGCUUGACAACAACAAGUCGGCACCUUACAUAGACCGGUGAAAUAAAUAAAAUGAGAGUCGAGCUACAAAGAGACUGGCUGCGACGUAAUAUCUCCCGAAAGCUUGAGAGUCGCUUGAUGCUGCUGACUGCAUGGAUUACCUCUCUGCCCUCGAUGUUAUAAGGUGUAAAUACGAUGGACACACGCUGGGGGCGGGACUCACACGGGGACUGUCCCAGG